ACAACUGAGGCCCCUUUACAUUCCUCUUGCCUGUUUCGGCAUUCUUCAACUUGCCUCUCCUGGGCUCCAUCUUUGGAUCAUUCUAGGCCCCUUGCAAAACAAAAUUUCCCCCAAAAUCAUGAUUAAGCACAGUGUUUCUCUUCUCUUGGGAUUUUCAUCGAACAUCUGCUGCGUCUUGGAGAAUUUGAAACCCAAUCGAGUAAUUAUGAUCUGUGUGUAGUUGUCGCAUAAUUAUGGCGACUAGGGCUUGUUUGGGGAUGGUGAUGCUGUAUCCAUCUGUGCCUUAUUUCAUCAGCAACAUCUUCACGUGGAAACACCACAAAUCUCUGUCCUUCGCAGUCCGAAAUCAAUGCUUGUCAAAGUUAUAUGGUCUGCUCUUGGUGCUCCGGGGCUCAUUGCAGCUGAUGGGUUUUUUUGCGAACACUAUAGCUGGGUCUGGUGCAACAUUUUCAUCUUCACAUCACUCAUAUUUUUCGGGAGGGAAAUAAGGUGGCUGAUAUUAUAGCCAAUUACUCUAGGACUGAGGGGUAGUGGCCCCAUGAGAUUUUGGAGAUUCCUGAUGCUGUUCGUUUGGAUAUGUCGGUCCACAGUCACUUGCGCAUGGUUUGAGCUGGGUGUUUUCUGCGGCGUUUUUGUCUGCGGGGGUUGGCUUUCUAUGCGUGUUUCUCCUUUUGGCGAUGCUUCACCUUUGCUUGGUUGUUUGGUGGGAUGUUUGGUGUUUGAGAUAAGGCGUCUCAGAGACCUUUUUACAAUUCUCGGGUGCGCUCGGAAUUGGGGUUGGCGAGGUCGGGUCCUGCUGCUCUGCGGCACUUACGGUUUUUCUGGCCUUCGAGUGUCGGCGUUGAGAUUUUUUCCCUGUUUUUUUUAUUUGCGGUUUUUCACCUCGGCUUUGUCUAGUUUGGAUUUGUGGUGUUUGGUUUGUUUUGUCGGUGAAAAUCGGGGCUAUCUAAGAGUGAUGGUUAGGCCGGAGUUCUUGAGAUGGUCCCUUCCGCUUUCCUGGCAUGAUUCUUUUGUGUUUUGCUCUUUUUCUUAGACGAGCACUCCUUUUUCUCUUCAAGCUUUUCCCCUUGUGGGGUUUACUUGAUGAGGUUUUAAUGAGGCUCGACCCUUAGUCUGCGUUUCUGUGCUUUCAAGGGUUUCUUUAGGUUUUUUUCUUUUCCUUUUAUAAUAGCUUCAUUUAAUAAUAUUAUAUAGAUAUAUAUUUGAUCAUAAUUCUAUCGCUAUCUUG